UUUUCCCCCUAUCAGAUGUUGCUUCUGCGCCCGCACUGGGCAUGCGCAAGGCGCCAGGGCAUGCGCGUCAGGGGGGCGAAGCCGCUGCCCGUAGUGCCGGCGCUGGCGGAGGGGCGCGGGGGUGGCAGUGCGUGAAAGGAGCUGUGUGAGGAGACAGCGGCCAAGGUGCCCACGGGAGUCGGGGCUGAUAAGAGCUUUCAUAGAGUUCCAACGGUGGUAACAAACGGAGUUGCUGUGAGGAGAGGGCGUCGAGCACCCACCCUGCCAGACAAGUGUCCAGGACACGGCGGCCCGAGGCACCCCAGAGCCGGCAGUGCGCUUUGGCCCUCUGCAUGUUCGGUCUGAACCCGCUCUGGCAAACACGAGUGCCCCGCUGAAAUCGCCCGAGGCCAGCUCGACCCGCGCACGUCUGCUUGCCCAGCGGUCCUCGAAAGCCUCUGCUGACAAAAUCCCAAAAGGGAGUGAAGAAAACUGGAAUCCCUCUGCAGGAAAGAGGUUGAGGCAGUCCUAACCCUCGCUGGCUUUUGCAAUUUAUUUUUGUUUGCAAGAAAGUGAAGGUGCUCCACGAGCUCUGUGGCAGCAUGACCAGGGAGGCCAAAACAGCAAAGCUCAGUGCAAAGGGAUCCACUUGAGCUACCAACUCUGAGUCAUGCAGCUGCUAUUAAUACACCUCGCCCUCUGGCUGUCCGAUAAAGAAGGGAAGGUUGGAGGAAGAACUAAGAAGAAUUUUCAGUUAAAGCUGCUUUUAAAAGAAUAAUAACAUUUUAGGAUGAAUCGAAGGUUGGGAGAAAGAGAGGAUGAGGAGAGCAGCCUGGCAAACAAGAAGGAGCAAUCUUCCAGAGAAUCUGUGAGAACCUUACCAACUAAAUUUUUAAAAUUUUUUUGGACAAAUUUUUAAAAACAUUCCAAUAAACUAGACUGCAUAACACAGUCUGUGAUGAAAUUAAAUAGAAUUGCGUAUGAGUGGGUUUAAUUGCUUCUAGAGACAUUUAUUGAGUGUAACCUGUGAUGAUUUUAUGUGUUUUAUAGUGUAUUUCAAGCAGGCAUUUCUCUAGCAGCCAUCACCACAGAACCUGAACAUCUCAGUCUAUUAAAGGUAUGUGCAGUUUGCUCCCGUGGGCUAAAAUUUCAGUUCUAUCUUUGUUUAUGCCAUUUUAUCCCAAGUAAGAAGUAAGAGUGUCUGAUGCUUCCUUCUCUGUUGUUCUUCAUCGUGGACAUCCUGGCGUGAAGCUGAAUAUUUUCCAAUACAUUAAACUUCUGAAGUGUCUUGCAGCCUCUGCAGAUACGCAGUUCCACUGACCAGAUGCUCUUAGUAUGCAACAUACUCUUCCCUGUUCAGACAACCUUUCCCUGCAGGUCAGAGUAAGUUCCAAGGGAAAUGAAAAAAACCUCAGGGAAAACCAAACCCUGUUUCAUUCAGUCACCUAAAAAGAUUGUCUUGGAUUCAGUGCAGUGCACAGAUAAAAUGUGUUUACUUUAGCUGACUGAAUUAGAGGCUCAUUUUUCUUCCAAAAUAGUCUAUUGUGAGCUGGCUCAAACAUAGGAUUAUUGCACUAGGACAUGGUUUCUUGAUAGCAUGUGAAGAAAGUUCUUUCAAUUUGUGCAUUAUCGCCAGAGGAUAUGCUUUAUCUCUUAUCCUAUUACAUGAAGAAUAUUAUUGCUCAAAAAUGUCAAGGUAAAUAAUAGCCUUAUCUUUCUUGUCAACAGUAUAAUGUGGUUUUCUUCUCACCUUGCUUCCUCAACAAGGUGUAAAGUUGCAGUUUGUCUGAUAAAACAGGGCAGUAAAAACAGAGGUGUAGUUAGGGAUCGGAUCCUUUUUAACCAUGAAACUGAAACUACAGGCAAUAAAGAGAGCUUUCAGAUACUCAUAUCAACUUAAAUUACACUGUUCUGUAAGAGGUAGGUUAUAAAGAUAAAGUUAAUGAUAAGGAUGCCAUAACUGCCAGAAACAAAAGAUUGUCUUCCAGCAGUAAUGCCAAAAUACAGCUCUUUGUGGAGACACUCCCUUCCCCCCCCCAAAAAAAAAAAAAAAGCCUAAACAACCAAGCUUUAAAUUUCUUUGCACUGAGGAAUCAAUCCUGGAAUCGCAUUUGAAAGUGAAGAUUUCUGGGCCAGUGCUUCUUUCCUUUUUCAGUUCAUCUGCAAAGGCAUAAAGCAUUACUCGGUGAAUAUCCAGUUGUGUGUUAGAAUUUACUCUUAUUAAAGUUCAUUGUACUACCUAAGGGAUGUUUACUGGACAGGACAUUUUGGAAAGGAGAAGCAAUUUAUGAUUCUUCUUUUUUUUUAUCUUAAAUGGUAUGCAACAUACUUUUAUUUUUUCAUUCAAUAAGGAUUUGUGACAUCAGCUAGGAUAGAAGUAUAGUUCUGCCCAUAUUAUGGCCCUAAGAUGAAAAGUUAUACAUGGACUUAGUGUACAAGUCUGGAAGCUAGCCACUGUGGCUGGGAAUAUUUAUGCAUAUGACUCAACACACAUACUCAUCUAUUAAUAUGUUUACAGAAGCAGACCUUACAUAGUCUAAAAAUCACAGGGUAAUUUUAUUAUUACUAAUUGUAUGGUUUAAACCCAAAUUGUUUAUUCUUUUGUUAGUAUUUGAAUAACACUGUUACCUUAAUGAACAUCAAUUGUACUUAUUUUUCCAAUCAUUAUAUUAGAGUGCCUUUUAAAAUCUUUGCUAGAAGCAAAUGGAACUGAAAGAAUGUGGUGGUUAUUAGAUUAAUCCAAUUCACAGAUACUUUAAAUAUUUCAUGAAACUACAAUAAAUGUCUGGUGUAGUAGUUUUUAUAUCUCUUGUUAAAUUUGCCUGUCAUUUACAAUAAAAUGUAUCUAACUCCAGAAAGUAUUUUUCAUACAUUAUUAAAAUACUAGAUUUCAAUAAAAAUAUAAAGGUUCCAGUAGCAACAUUGAGCAUUCCAAGUUGCCCUUAUUGCAUGCAUACAUAUAAUCUCUGCUUUGAUCAAGUUCAAAGGCAUAAUAUGGUAUGAGUCUGGAGGGAUUUAUCCCUUUCCUUUCCAAAAUACCAUAGCUGUGCGAAGCUCACUUAGUUGUCCUUCAGUACCAUGAUCCUCCAGUUAGCAGCACCUCCACAAUCCUCCGCUCCAGAGAAGAAGUCAAGGAAUCCAAAUCCAGGACUCUUCAGCUGGAAUAAUCCCUUGCAGGAGCAUUCAGAUGAAGGACCUGGUGUGCAGAUGGAAGCUACAUGAAGGAGAGAUUCUUCUUCCUCAUCAGAAAAACACAAGAAACACAAAGGAUAAAUCAGCACCUGAAAGCCUGAUCAAAACACCUGAAAACCAGCAGUCAGGAUAAUCUAAUGAACUGCUGUGCUGGCAGUUGGCUUGGUGUCAAACUAUUCUGCCAUUUUAGUUUAAUAACCUAGCUGAGGAGGCUUAUCCUCUGACAUUGACAUUGAAACUUGGCUGUCCAGCAGACACAUUUACCAUUGAAAAUCUGUAAGGUUGUUUGCAAAAGCUUUAUCCUGAGGCCAAAUGAAUUCCUGCCAAUGAAAGACUUAAAGAGGCCACUGCUUCUCUUCAUGAAUUUGCCCAUGAGAAGCAGAAAUGUUACACUGGCCUAGAGUCUGGAUGAGUGAAAAGCCCAACAGCUUUAUCACCAAGCAUCUCUCAGAUGUCAGAACCUUUUCCAAUGACAUGUCUUUGUGCUUCUGGACAUUCGGUCUCUGGUACUACAGCAAAGAUAACCACAGUUGUGUCAGCCUAUCUUAGGGCCAAAUUUUACUACCUUUACUGCUCAAGACAGGAAGCAGUAAAAUCACAUGUAAAGGAGUUCAAAUACAGUUCUUAAUAGUUCCUUCUAAGUGAACCAAUGUAUCCAUCCCUGUGGUAAUAAUUUGCUAAUACACAAAAUAUGUAUUAUGCAGUCUUUGCAUUCAAUCUAUUUCAAUUACCAUCAUUUUA